GACGAACGCUGGCGGCGUGCUUAACACAUGCAAGUCGAACGGAAAGGCCCUGCUUUUGUGGGGUGCUCGAGUGGCGAACGGGUGAGUAACACGUGAGUAACCUGCCCUUGACUUUGGGAUAACUUCAGGAAACUGGGGCUAAUACCGGAUAGGAGCUCCUGCUGCAUGGUGGGGGUUGGAAAGUUUCGGCGGUUGGGGAUGGACUCGCGGCUUAUCAGCUUGUUGGUGGGGUAGUGGCUUACCAAGGCUUUGACGGGUAGCAGGCCUGAGAGGGUGACCGGCAACAAUGGGACUGAGAUACGGCGCAGACUCCAACGGGAGGCAGCAGUGGGGAAUAUUGCAAAAUGGGAGGAAGCGUGAUGAAGAAAAGCAGCGGGCGGGAUGACGGCCUUCGGGUUGUAAACAGAUUUAGAAUGUGACGAAGAGUGAGUGACGGUAAUGGGUAAAGAAGCACCGGCUAACUACGUG
rnacentral:rRNA from 1 species